GACGAACGCUGGCGGCGUGCUUAACACAUGCAAGUCGAACGAUGAUCAGGGAGCUUGCUUUCUGUGAUUAGUGGCGAACGGGUGAGCAACACGUGAGUAACCUGCCCCAGACUCUGGGAUAACCUCGGGAAACCGGGGCUAAUACCGGAUAUGAAGCGUUCCCGCAUGGGAUGCGUUUGGAAAGAUUUAUCGGUCUGGGAUGGACUCGCGGCCUAUCAGCUUGUUGGUGAGGUAAUGGCUCACCAAGGCGACGACGGGUAGCCGGCCUGAGAGGGCGAACGGCCACACUGGAACUGAGACACGGUCCAGACUCCUACGGGAGGCAGCAGUGGGGAAUAUUGCACAAUGGGCGCAAGCCUGAUGCAGCAACGCCGCGUGGGGGAUGAAGGCCUUCGGGUUGUAAACCCCUUUUAGUAGGGAAGGAGCGAAAGUGACGGUACCUACAGAAAAAGCGCCGGCUAACUACGUGCCAGCCGCCGCCGCAG
rnacentral:rRNA from 1 species